UACCGAAUGCUUGGGAGAAUGUUCUGGAG
rnacentral:piRNA from 1 species